GUUGUUUUGGCUUAUGCUGUCAAUGCUCUAGAUAAACAUGCAAGAAUUCUCUCUUGAGUUCACCCAUAUUUUGGUGUGAGAUUAAAAGCAAAUCUGUUGCUUUUCUCCCCAAAGCCAAAUAACCUUUUAGGGGCCGGAAAAAAACCAAAGAAUCAUAGAUAUAAGAUGGCAUUUCGUUUGGUGUUGCUGCAGAUAUGUGCUGCAUUAUGGCUUCCAUACAUUGUCCCUAACAAUUGUUUCUGUCUUUUCCAGAAGGGAAGAAUUUAGCUGGAGAGUUGAUAUUUUUGGAUUAUUUCCUGACUUGAUGUGUUCUAUUUGCUAUAGAAAAGUGGUGAGGGUGCAUAUGUUAGCAGAGCUCGCAAGCGACAUGCAAUAAAGGUUGGAACUGUGGUUGGAUGAGGAAAUACUCCGCAUCUCCGAUCCUUGAUUCCAGUUUACACUGGAAGCGUUGGUUGGAUGGAGAUGCCAAAAAUGCAACAACUGAGAGAAGAGAACACAGCCUGAUGGAGAAAUUGAAGUGCAAGAGCUUGGUAUUGCAAGCCGGGACACAUAUGCCGUGAACAAUUUCUGUGAGAUUAAGUCUAAGAAACGUAGAAAUGCAGAAGAGCAUUGAAAACUGCCGUGGGUUCCUGAUUCUUUUCUACACUCAUUGUACCUAUUAAUUUCAACUUUUUUGUAUGGCUAAUUCAAGAAAUUUUACUAGUAUAUAUUUUGUUUGAAUGAAUUCUGCGUCCAAUGCAUUCAAUCCAUAAUCAUUAAGCAUUAA